AUACGUAGGUGACAAGCGUUAUCCGGAUUUACUGGGCGUAAAGGGCGUGUAGGCGGUCUUGCAAGUCAGAAGUGAAAUUCCUGAGCUCAACUCGGGCGCUGCUUCUGAAACUGCAGGACUUGAGUGCUGGAGGGGAUAGCGGAAUUCCUAGUGGAGCGGUAAAAUGCGCAGAUAUUAGGAAGAACACCGGUGGCGAAGGCGGUUAUCUGGACAGUAACUGACGCUGAGGCGCGAAAGCGUGGGGAGCAAACAGGAUUGGAUACCCUGAUAUCCCACGCCGUAAACGAUGAAUACUAGGUGUAGGGGGUAUCGACUCCCUCUGUGCCGCAGUUAACACAAUAAGUAUUCCGCCUGGGGAGUACGGCCGCAAGGUUGAAACUCAAAGGAAUUGACGGGG
rnacentral:rRNA from 1 species